GACGAACGCUGGCGGCGUGCUUAACACAUGCCAGUCGAACGGUGAAGGGCCCAGCUUGCUGGUUCUGGAUGAGUGGCGAACGUGUGAGUAACACGUGAGUCACCUGCCCCCUUCUUCUGUAUAUCCGCAUGAAAGUGUGGCUUAUACGGUAUAUUCUGGGUCUGUCUCAUGGCGGGCCCGGGAAAUCUAUUGUUUCGGUGGGGGAUGGGCUCGCGGCCUUUCAGCUUGUUGGUGUGGUGAUGGCCUACCGAGGCGGUGACGGGUAGGCGGCCUGAGAGGGGGCGCGGUGACAGUGGGACUGAGACACGGGCGAGAGUCCUACGGGACGGAGCAGUGGGGAAUAUUGCAGAAGGGGAGAAAGCCUGAUGCAGCGACGCCGGGUGAGGGAUGGAGGCGUGCGGGUUGUAAACCUUUUGGGUGAGUGAAGCAUGCGUGCUCGUUGUGGGUGGGUUGACGGUAGCUGGUUAAGAAGCGCCGGCUAACUACGUG
rnacentral:rRNA from 1 species